GUGGGGAAUAUUGGGCAAUGGGCGAAAGCCUGACCCAGCAACGCCGCGUGAAGGAAGAAGGUCUUCGGAUCGUAAACUUCUAUCCUUGGUGAAGAUAAUGACGGUAGCCGAGAAGGAAGCCCCGGCUAACUACGUGCCAGCAGCCGCGGUAAUACGUAGGGGGCAAGCGUUGUCCGGAAUGAUUGGGCGUAAAGGGCGCGUAGGCGGCCUGGUAAGUCUGGAGUGAAAGUCCUGCUUUUAAGGUGGGAAUUGCUUUGGAUACUGUUGGGCGUGAGUGCAUGAGAGGUAAGUGGAAUUCCCGGUGUAGCGGUGAAAUGCGUAGAGAUAGGGAGGAAUACCAGUGGCGAAGGCGACUUACUGGACUGUAACUGACGCUGAGGCGCGAAAGUGUGGGGAGCAAACAGGAUUAGAUACCCGAGUAGUCC
rnacentral:rRNA from 1 species